rnacentral:rRNA from 1 species
GCCUACGGGGCGCAGCAGUAGGGAAUUUUCGUCAAUGGGCGCAAGCCUGAACGAGCAAUGCCGCGUGAACGAGGAAGGUCUUCGGAUCGUAAAGUUCUGUUGAAGGGGAAAAAGAGCGGAGAGAGGAAAUGGUCUCCGAUUGAUGUUACCCUUCGAGGAAGUCACGGCUAACUACGUGCCAGCAGCCGCGGUAAUACGCGGUGGCGAGCGUUAUCCGGAAUGAUUGGGCGUAAAGGGUGCGUAGGCGGCCUGCUAAGUCUGGAGUGAAAGGUACCGGCUCAACCGGUACAGGCUCUGGAAACUGG